rnacentral:rRNA from 1 species
AUGUUUGGGCAGGUUGAGCAGGCCGAAUGGACUAGACUCCUGGCAGCCCCGCCGCCAGUGUUGCCGGACUAUCCGGACACUGUAUCGUGGCGCCUCUCACCUUCGGGUGAGUUCUCCGUCAAAUCCGCAUACAAGGCUCUGGGUCGCUUGCCCGUUAUCCCUUGGCUAGCUAACUUACGGAAGGCCCCCAUGCCCCUGACGGUAAAGAUCUUCGUUUGGCAACUUCUCAGAAAUCGCCUCCCCUCGGGGACCAAGGUGCUUAAGCGACAGGGUCCGGGUGAUGGACUCUGCCCUUUAUGCAGGGUCCCUGAGACUGUGGCCCAUAUCAUUUUCUCGUGCAUAGCGGCCCGAGUCCUUUGGCAGUUCGUCCGAGAGGCACUAGGGCCCGACUAGGAGGCCAUGGACCCCGUGGACUUCCUCCAGGCCAGGGCGACCAUGCCUGGCCGUCACCGCCGCAUAUUCUGGCUGAUUUUUGCGGCCAUGUCAUGGACUCUUUGGACAACUAGAAAUAAAAUGAUGAUUGAGAAGGUGUUCCCGAGGCAGGCGUCUGACUCUUUGUUCAAAUUCCUUAUUUUCCUGCAGCAAUGGUGUUGA